AUACUUAAGUGCUGCACUGAAAUUUCUCAAGUAUUUUCUACCCCUGCAUAUUGUUUAAUGUUUUUGUGAGAAAAUAUUGUGGAUGAUUUUUCAUAAUCAUAUAAGAAUUGACAUUGGGCAGCCAGAAAUAUAACUAUUUCAUUAGCCUGAUAAUGUCAGUUUAGCAAUUGAGUUCGAGAUUCAGGAUUACAUUUGGGUAGAGUGCAGGCAAGCAUCUCACCUCUUCAACUCUCUCUUACAGGUGCGGCUCAGCUCCAGUACAGUAUUAGAAUUAGAAUUAGUAUUACACUGUUAGAAAACUGGUUCCGUAGGGGAGUUUGUGUAGUUAAGAGUGUUUAGUGCCAUAAAGUAUUUAUAGAUAUAUAGAAGAGCUUUCAUUUCAAAAAUGUGAAAGGUUUAUUUAUUAAGAGCUAUUGUUAUCUGUGGUGUAUACACAAUUGAUCAUUACACCUAAACGUCACAAAGUCUAAGUAACUGUAUUGUGUAUUUUGACAGGAAAAAAUCAGAUGCCAAUCAUAUUUAUGCCAAAACUGACAAAUGAGGAAUGUUCAUCUUGCCACCCAAGUGGAACUUGUUUCAAUCACAUUUCCAUCGUCAUAUGGAUGUUAAAACCGCCCAAUAAUAUAUAAAUUACACUGUACUUUUCCCACAUAAACGCCACUCAUGAGAGAAGUAGGGCUCCUCUGCAUCCUAAAUCCUAGUUUAAACCCUGAUCACAUUUACAAUUACAGCUCUAGAUGUUCAUAUUUAUGUAUAUAGAGUACAAACAUGUGUGGCUAAUUUACAUACAAGGAAGUAAGAAUUAUUAUGUGAUGCAAAUUAAUUCGUUCUUGAAAUUUCCGUUAUGAAUAUUCUCCAUAACCAGAGCAACAUUAUGCUGUACAGCAACAAGAAUAUCAUUAAGUAGUAAAGAUGAGACAGAAAAUCAGACGGAAAUUAUUAUUAGACAUGCCCUUUGCAUUGCAUGUGACAAGCUAACUUUCUUGUAAACUACUUUUACUCUAUGCAUUUGGCCUGAGAUCCCUGAUGCCCUUCCUAAAACAGUAGGUCUUUAGGAUUAAAUGACAUGGGAAAGAAGAACCAUGGGACCUGAGUAGGCCUGUGUGUUUAAUUAUGACUAGUUAUCCCGUUAACUUCUCUGUGACUCAAACGUGUAUGUAAUAAGCACAUUUCUGUGAGCUGGGAGGGUAAAUGUGAAAGGUCAGCUGUCAGUUUUAAUACAACUAGCUCGCCUCUAAUGAAACGUUGCUCACAAUAUGUGUUAAAUAAGAAUGCAUUAAUUCCUUAAAUGUCUCUUAGAUUUUUUUGUGUGUCUAAGCCCUUUUUAAAGGAGAUAAUUUGACAGCAGCCCCCACUGACAGCUCGGAGCAGAGCGGACCAACACCUGCGUCCAGCCAAGCAUCACCGCCCCCAUCUCUCUUUGCACUCUUCUUCUCAUCCUCCAUUCCCCUCUUCCUCUGCCUGUUCACAAAUGAACUGUCACAUCAUUACUGUGGCUGAUGCAAAAUAAUCUGCCUCCAAAUUAGCAUGGGUCAGGCCACUCGCCUUCCUUUCUCUCUGGCGCUCUCAUUCUCUCUCUCUCUCUCUCUCUCUCUCUCUCUCUCUCUGUUCACGCGGUGUGCUUCUGUGAAGGUGCUGGUUUGAAUAUGCAUCUCUGCACACUUCCAUCAGGCGUUCCACAGGGACAGCACGUGGAAAGCAGCAGCUCUCUGCAUUAGCAUGGAGGGUUUGGGGUCCCCGUGCAGAUGCCCCAUCCCACUUGUUCAUUACUACUGAAUUUCAUCAGCCUGAUGAUGUCCACAUGUCAAUUGAGUGAGAGGAUUUUACACACAAAGGAGCCUGAGGGAAAAGGACUUCAGCAACUAAUCAGCUGAUUAUCAUAACUCCGACUCUAAGAGAGAUGGGGAAGGGAGAGAGAGAAGGAGAGAGACAGGAUGAGGACAAGCCGAUCGACACCCCCAUUCCUCCUCCUUAUGAGCAUACGGUGCGAUAUGCAAAGUGAGUAAAUGAAAUUCAAAACAUAUGAGCAGGACAAAUGAAAAGCACAUAAAUCACUGCCAGAAUAAGUGGGUAGUGACGAGAGGCCUGUUUUUGGGUUCAGGGUCACACUCUUUUCAUCAUUACUAUGUAGGUAUUGGAUGAGUCUAUGCCUGAAUUACAGAACCAUAACAAUACAAUCAGACUGUCUAUAAGUAACUGGACAGUGUGAUAUAUGUUUAUUAAAAGUUUUGAUUGUGAACAUCCAAUAUUCUAUCUUUAAGUAAGAGCAUUUUACAAUUAAGUGACCCACAACUCUUAUUACACACAUUUUCUCCAUUUAUAUUUAAGAGGGCAAAAAUUAACAAAUAAAAAUACUUAAUAUUAUGCAUAGUUUAAUAUUAUGUUUACAACUUGGUGGACAGUCCCAUAGAACAGAGCUUCUCAAAUUUUUAUGUAUGUAUGAGCUAUUCAAAUAUUAGGUCCAUUAUUUAAAUGUGUAGUUUGUGCUUAUUAUUUAUCAGAGUGUAUGUUCUAUAUUGAUGAGCUUAUUGAUGUAUUUUAUUUCUAAACUUUACACUGAUUGGACACAUUAGCUCAAAGUUGACGAUGGACCCAUAUUUGAAUUAAACACAUUUAAUUUAAGUGAACAAAAUACUAUAAGAACUCUGUAUUAAAUAUAAUUUUGAUUAUGGCAUGUUGUGAUUUCCACCCAUGCACCACUUUUUUUUCCUGCCGCAAGGUAAUGUUUCAUCUUCUAAGUUUUGAGACUCAGUUAGCUGUAUCAGAUCAGUUAAGACACUUCUGAUCAUUUUUCUUCAGUCACAUCAUCAAUCAACGUAAAUCAUUUCCACUGGCAGGUAUAUGUACAUCCUCAAGCAGCCAUGUUUCACAAUUUGCUCAUGAGCAGUUCCAUAGUGAUUUCCUUAUUCUAUUUAUAAGAAAGUUGUCCCAGAAUUUUUUUUCUUACAAUCUGUUAAUUCUGUUUUUAUGCUUUUAGUGUUUCCUUUCAGUUGAAGCUGUAGUUUUGGAUACAUGUAUACUAAUCUAUUUAAUCUAUAAUGAGUGGAAUCUAUCAUAUUAGGCCUGUAUAUUAUUCAGACUGGCUUUGUCAAGAAUAAUCCAGAGGAAUAGUUCUGUCUUCUAAGAUUAAUGAUUUACAGAUGCAAUUUCUAUGCAUUAGUCAUCUGAUUGUUAGACUUAUAUUGUCCAUCCAAGGGUUCAUACACACAGAUAUGCAUACAGCCUUAAAAAUAUAAGCUCUUUUAUACACACAAACAUUCACGUAUAUUCACAAGCAAAGCAACAUACAACAGUCAGCCACACACAGUGUGCCUCAGGCCCAAUUAGAAAGUCUGCAGUAUGCAUUGUUCCUGUAGCCCUAAGAUCAAUGUGCUGCAGGCAUCUCCCCAUCACCAGGCCUAAUGAUGUCUUUCUGGACCACGGCCUCACACACUGCAUAGUAAUCUUCUGCUAAUUAGCGCUAUAAUGCUCAAGCAAACCGCCUCAGCUCCACAAUCCCAGAGCGAACUCACUGCACUUAUUUAUUUCCAGCCUCUCUCCUCUAUUCUUACGACUAAUAUAAUUCUAGAGAAGUCAUGGGAAUUACCUAUGACUUGGAAGAAUAAUAGAGAGACUGAUACUGUGUUUUAAAAUUUGAGGUCAGAUUAAUGUUCGAAUAGAAACUGGAAAUUCUUCAUUAUGAACUUAGUUAGGGCAUAAACUAUUAUGUGUAUACAGUCUCUCAGGGGUGAAGAUGGAUGAUCUCAGGUAAAUUCUCAAAAUUCUGGCGUUCCUAAUAGAACCCUGGCUGAGAGUUGUGCCAAAGGUUAAAGGUGUUGGCUCGUUUUUACACUGAAUUGCCAUCUUAGUCUAGGAUAAUAAUUGACAGAUUAUGCAAUUGACAGAUUAUGAUCUAUGUGACUUUCCUCUGUACAUCUGUUUUCAGCUACGCUUGUGACUCCAUGAACGUUAGGAUUGGGAAUUGUAGAAACUAGGCCAGAGGGGCUAAAAUGCAGACGUAGCUAUAGUCACAAGGGAAAGAUUAGCCAUGUGUCAGGUGCACAGGUGCAAGGCGAACUCACCUUUGGGAUACCUGAAGAAUGGCCUGAGUCUAUGGCACAGGACUGGGAGAGAAAAAAAUGUCAACAUUUUAAGCUGAAACGAAAAAGAACACUAGUUCCAAGGGUAAGCAAAAUAAGCCAAGCUUGGAUAUCUGUAUUAGUGGGGCUCUUUCAUUUCUAUCUUUCCUUUUUUGUGCUUUCCGCCUGUAAAUUAUUAUCACAAACAGUUAAAAUGCUAUGCUAAAUCUGCCAUGUGAAUUCUUCAUGUGUAUGCCUCUCAUGUUUUAACUUGUGUCCAUUCACUCUCUUCCUGAGAGGUUAAUACAUUGGCCAGCCCUGCAGACAGGCCAACUCGAACUGACAGCACGUCUACCUGCACAGAGGAGUUCCUCUCUUCUCCACACACAGCAACCUGACAGUCUGAUGAACUGCCAAAGAACCUUCUCUCAUCUCACCUCAUUCUCGUGCUUCUCCUUGGACGUACACAUUGACAAUUUAAACAGAAAUAGUCCUGGAAUUCCAGCAGUUGAAUACUCCAUGGCUACACUCAUCUUCUUCGAUUGAUACGAAGGCUUCCUUGUUUUCACACUCCUGCUCAUGCAGCAUUGUCACAGCACUGUGCAGACACCCAUCUGCUUGGUCACCCGGGUGAAAUCGGGACCCUGCCAGCAUUAGCUUCCAGUGUGGACGAGGGCAGUUGCACUCUGGGACCCUGGCGAUGGAUGGCACAUGCCACAGUAGGAUUCACUUCUGUACUCGUCAGGUUGGACCUGAACCAUAUGUGACAUCGAACUCUUUCAAGAUAUCUGCAGCCUAUCCUGGCAGGACAUACCCGGAAUGGGACACCACUCUGUUGCAAGGCAGCAAACACACACAUAUUCUAUCAGUGAUGGUGACAGAGAAAAAGCAGGGACUCUGGGGUUUAAAAGUACCCGAAGCAUCCUGGGUAAUUAGCCAUUACGUUGCUGUCACAGAGGGUUGUGCAGUCAAUACAGAGAUAAUUUGGGCAAUGGUGAAUGACAGCGCUGUCCGGACUGCUGGGAUGAUCAAGGACAGAGCCAGCUGCACCCGGCAUCUGUCAGGCCCAUGAAUCUCUCUCUCUUUCCCUCUCUCUCUCUUUCUCUCUCUCACACACACACACAGCCUGCUGCUUACAGAACGACUGAAGCAGAGCAGGAGAAGAUAACAGAGCCAGAACGAUGCACAAACAAAUAUGUUCAUCCCUGUUUCUCUUUCCUCUCAUCUCUCCUCCACUCUCAGAGGGAAAUGGCUAGUUAAGAUGGCUAGUUAAGGCCUGUCUCUCCACGUGAAUGUGCUUGUUACUGCUGGUGGCGAAUGAGUGACACAGGGUGUAAAAGAGGGAGGGAGGCCCAGACUGACCGGGGCAGAAGGUGUAAGUAAUGGCAACACAGGCGGGGUGAGAUGUGGGAGAGAGGAGGGCCUGUGGCAUAAUGAAAAACCUAUUUACUUCAGUAAUAAAGAUAAAUGUGUGCCACGCUGAUUAUAUUUGGGUUGUGUAAAUUGAAGUUGGAACACAUGU